AGUACGACGUCGAGCUAUACCAGCGUAUAGAACAGCUGAUCGGGAAACAGCUCCCACUGUACGCGUGCGACGAGAACGAAGUAAUGGUGCUGCAGGAAAGAGUCUCCGAAGCUCAGCGGCUCACCAACAUCGAAAUGAAAGAGUUAAACGACAAAAAGUCGAUUAAGGGAAAAAAGCGUAGCGCGGGCUCCGACGACGACGACACUGAGGAGGCGAUCGGCGUGAGGCGACGCAUCAAGGGGAAGCCGAACAAACACGCCGCCAAAAGGAAAAGAAAAUAAAUUUAUUGUUGUCACUUGA
rnacentral:lncRNA from 1 species